CGGGAACGGCCCGCCAAUGUGGCCAUGUCCCAUUCCAACCCCCUCGUCCACUUCCUCCGCCACGUCUCCUUCCCUCCGGACCCGCACCUCCUCCCCACCGCGCUCAAGUCAUGCCCGGCGCUGCCGCUCGCCCGCGCGCUCCACGCCGCCGCCCUGGCCGCGGGCUUCGCGCGGGACCCAUUCGUCUCCUCCUCGCUUCUCCACACCUACCUCCGCUUCGGCGCCACCGCCGACGCCCGCGCCGUGUUCGACGGAACGCCGCAGAAGACCGUCGUCGGCUGGAGCGCGGUCGUCGCGGCGCACGCGGCCCGUGGGGACGCCGAGGCCGCGUGGCGUCUCCUCGAGGAGAUGAGGCUGGGGACCGCUGGUGGCGGCGGCGUGGAGCCGAACGUCAUCACCUGGAACGGGCUCGUCUCCGGGUUCAACCGGAGCGGGCGCGCACGCGACGCGGUUGUGGCGCUGGCGCGGAUGCACGGCGAAGGGAUCCUGCGUCCGGACACCACGGGCGUUUCGUGCGCGCUCUCUGCCAUCGGGGACCUGGGAACGGAGGCCAUUGCUGUCGGGGAGCAGCUGCACGGGUACGCGGUGAAGGUGGGGUGCAGGUUGGAUGCCUGCGUUGUCACCGCGCUCAUCGACAUGUACGGCAAGUGCGGACGGGCUGAUGAGAUUGUUCGAGUGUUCAGUGAGUCCUGCCACCUGGAUGUUGCUUCCUGCAACGCCCUCGUCUCUGGGCUAUCUCGAAAUGGUUUAGUCGCUGAGGCACUAAGGUUGUUCAGGGAGUUUGUUGCCCGAGGAGUACAGCUGAAUGUGGUGUCCUGGACAUCGAUUGUUGCUUGCUGUGUGCAGAAUGGGAAGGAUUUGGAGGCUGUUGAGCUUUUCAGGGAGAUGCAGGCACAAGGGAUUGAACCAAACUCUGUCACCAUACCAUGCGUGCUGCCAGCAUUUGCCAAUGUUGCAGCUCUAAUGCACGGGAGAUCAGCACAUUGUUUUUCUCUCAGAAAGGGUUUCCUUCAUGAUGUUUACGUUUCCAGUGCGUUGGUGGACAUGUAUGCAAAGUGUGGCAGGGUCAGGAAUGCGAGAACAAUCUUUGAUGUGAUGCCAUCCAGGAAUGCAGUGUCAUGGAAUGCGAUGAUUGGUGGCUAUGCUAUGCAUGGAGAGGCUGAGAAUGCUGUCCAGUUGUUUGACUCAAUGCUGAUGUGCAAACAGAAGCCUGACAUGGUCACUUUCACCUGUGUGCUUGCAGCCUGCAGUCAAGCUGGCUUGACAGAGGUGGGGCGUCACUACUUCAACAAAAUGCAGCAUGGGUAUGGUAUUUCCCCCAGGAUGGAGCAUUAUGCUUGUAUGGUUACUCUCCUGGGACGGGCUGGCAAACUCGAUGAGGCCUACGAUGUCAUAACUGACAUGCCAUUUGAGCCAGAUGGUUGUAUUUGGGGUUCAUUAUUGGGCUCUUGCCGGGUGCAUGGCAGUGUCGAUCUGGCCGAGGUUGCAGCAGAAAAGCUCUUUCAUCUGGAGCCAGAUAAUGCUGGUAAUUAUGUCUUGCUUUCCAAUAUUUACGCUUCCAAGAAAAUGUGGGGUGGUGUUAAUAGAGUUAGAGAGAUGAUGAAGGAUAUGGGAUUGAAGAAAGAAAAGGGUUGUAGCUGGAUAGAGAUCAAGAACAAGGUGCACAUGCUGUUGGCCGGUGACGACUCACACCCUAUGAUGACUGCAAUAACUGACAAACUAAAGCAGCUUAAUAUUGAAAUGAGGAGGCUGGGCUUUGCGCCAAGCACAGAUUUUGUCCUACAUGAUGUGGAGGAGCAAGAAAAAGAUGAUAUUCUUGCUGUCCACAGUGAGAAGCUAGCUGUUGCACUGGGACUCAUAAGCACGAGUCCAGGAACACCCCUUCGGGUGAUAAAGAACCUCCGAAUUUGCGAUGACUGCCAUGAAGCAAUGAAGUUUAUAUCAUGUUUUGAGGGGAGGGAGAUAUCUGUUAGAGAUACCAACAGAUUCCAUCACUUUAGGGAUGGAAAAUGUUCCUGUGGAGAUUAUUGGUGAUCUCUUUUGUGCUUUCCUGCAAUACAAUUCGCAUAACAACUUGGUGAUGAUGGUGAUUGGAGUAGAGCAUGCAUAUCCACAAGAGUUAUUGAGUUGGCAGGAUGCAUGCAGAGAUCUUGGGUGCUUCAGCAAGUCAGCAUGCAUGUCUGUGCACGGAUCGUUGAAGGCCAAGUCUGGUGUACGUGCUACGCAUGCUUUGGAAAGCAAUAUGAGCAUGUACGAGAGGGAGUAUCCGUUCUAAAUUAUAACUCAUUCCAAUUUUCUUGGAAGUCAAGCAUAUCAAGUUUGACCAAAAUUAAAUAAUACUUCCUCUGUCUCAGAAUACAUUUAGACUUUUUCAAAGUCAAAUCUUUUCAACUUUGACUGCAACUGGAGAAAUAAUCAUAGAGGCUAAUAACAUAAAAAUA